AAACCAGACUCCUACGGGAGGCAGCAGUGGGGAAUAUUGCACAAUGGGGGAAACCCUGAUGCAGCGACGCCGCGUGAGCGAUGAAGUAUUUCGGUAUGUAAAGCUCUAUCAGCAGGGAAGAAAAUGACGGUACCUGACUAAGAAGCCCCGGCUAACUACGUGCCAGCAGCCGCGGUAAUACGUAGGGGGCAAGCGUUAUCCGGAUUUACUGGGUGUAAAGGGGGCGCAGACGGCAGCGCAAGCCAGGAGUGAAAGGCCGGGGCCCAACCCCGGGACUGCUCUUGGAACUGCGCGGCUGGAGUGCAGGAGGGGCAGGCGGAAUUCCUGGUGUAGCGGUGAAAUGCGUAGAUAUCAGGAGGAACACCGGUGGCGAAGGCGGCCUGCUGGACUGCGACUGACGUUGAGGCCCGAAAGCGUGGGGAGCAAACAGGAUUAGAUACCCCAGUAAUG
rnacentral:rRNA from 1 species